AAUAAGUUUCACAUUUACAUUAGCAAUAUCAAUUCCAUUCAUAUUUCAUUGUCAUUCACUGGCUUCGUACACAAGCUGGGCUGUGGAUACCUCGAGUAUCCUCAAUUUUAGGCAAACCGAUUGUAAAUGUUUGGAAUAAAAACCAAGGGAGAGUGACGGCAGCCUAAUGGCAGCAUAUCCACAAGUGGUGUUCCAUCAUCUAUAAAACUCUCAUAUCA